CCCCUACCCAGUGCCCAGUGGCCACUGCCCCUCUCUUGGUUUGCCCCGGAAGAGAAAGAGCCUGUCGCCUAUGCAGCCUUCCUUAGUUCCUUCCCACUCAAAUCCCAAUCUCUCUCUCCCCCGUCUUCCGCCAAUCCGCCAUGGUCAUGGACAAGUCUAACCUCCCUCCGCCGCCACCGCCUCCCUCCUCCUCCCUCAAGUCCCUCAACAAGUCGUCCUACAAGAUCUCCAAGCAGUCCUCCACCGCCCUCGCCUCUUCAGCUUCCUCCAUGAGAGCGCCUUCCCCGCCGCAGCCACAGCCACAGCCUCCGCCUCCACGCCCAUCUCUUCCCCCUCCGCCGCCACCGCCUUCCUCCGUCCCCACCGACCACCCGCCUCCCCAGCCCCCAGUCUACAACAUCGACAAGUCUGACUUCCGCGACGUCGUGCAGAAGCUCACCGGCUCCCCGUCCCACCUCCUCCCGCCACAGCCCCCGGCCGGUUCCGCCAUGGCCCCACCUCCCCCGCGGCCGCCUCCCAUCAUGGCGCCUCCACCACCGCCGACGGCGAUACCUUCCCGCCUCCACCGCAUCCGGCCGCCGCCGCUGGCCCCGCCGCGCCCGGCGCCCAUCCUGCCGCUGGCCCCGCCGGCGCUCUCCCCCCUCCCGCCGCUCCCGGCGGUCUGCAUGACCGCCGAGUCGCCCAUCUCCGCCUACAUGCGCCGCCUCCGCGGGAUGCCCUCGCCGAUCCACGUGCCGACGUCGCCGCUCGGGUUCGGGUGCCUGCCCUCGCCACGGACGCCGCCGUCGCCCGGCGUGCCGAUGCCGGCCACCAGCCCCCGCGUACGCGAUGCGUGACCCUGAAGCUACCGAUGCCGCUGCCGCCGAUGUGUAGAUAUGGCCGGUGUAGGAGAGAUCUGGCGAGGCGGCGGCGAGGAAAGGAGGAAGCAGCAAUACAAUCACAUUCUGUAAUUGCAAUUAGGCUUCGGUUUCUGGUGUGAUAUGGACGUUGUUUUGUUUUGUGGUGUACUAUGGCUCAUCUAAUUAUGGUCGCAUGAACUGUAAAGCAUGUUUGGUGACACGUCGAGGUUUGGCUCUGCCUUUUUCUCUUGUUAAUCAUGGGCUUUAUUUGUUUAUCAUGAGUAUUAUAAUAACCUUUGCAUUGGACAAUGAACACUCUAGAAAUUUCACGGGCAAUUAGCAACAAAACAAGGCACCUCUUGCUUCCUAGUAUUGGGAAGGUCAGUGAUACUAUCCACUUGAGCACAUUGUAACAUCUUUUUGCAAUUGAGGUAAAAAUUUGGGUGGAUCGGUGAAAGUGAACAAAAUAUCAGUUGUCUCCCUGGCGAUUGGAUCAGCAGAUGCUAUGACAAUGUGGCUAGUGGAUGGCAAUGUGGCAAUGUGGCAAGUGCAGAAAUUCUCUCUUUUCCCCACCGGUUUUCACUUGCAGAAGCUUUGGCUUGCAGUGAAUUAGGGGUGAAGUCUCAAGCUGUCUACGUUGCAAACAAAGGUGUUUCUCUGGUUGAUCGAUGAAUGUGGGACGAGCAUAUUAAGUUACAAGCUUUAAAUCACUCUCUGGGACACGCCUUUGUACACUUGCCAAGUUCUGGUCCGGUGGGAGCUGAG